AUACAGAGGGUGCGAGCGUUAAUCGGAUUUACUGGGCGUAAAGCGUGCGUAGGCGGCUUUUUAAGUCGGAUGUGAAAUCCCCGAGCUUAACUUGGGAAUUGCAUACGAUACUGGGGAGCUAGAGUAUGGGAGAGGAUGGUAGAAUUCCAGGUGUAGCGGUGAAAUGCGUAGAGAUCUGGAGGAAUACCGAUGGCGAAGGCAGCCAUCUGUCCUAAUACUGACGCUGAGGUACGAAAGCAUGGGGAGCAAACAGGAUUAGAUACCCUGUUAGUCCAUGCCUUAAACGAUGUCUACUAGCCGUUGGGAGGUUUGACCUUUUAGUGGCGCAGCUGACGCGAUAAGUAGACCGCCUGGGGAGUACGGUCGCAAGACUAAAACUCAAAUGAAUUGACGGGGG
rnacentral:rRNA from 1 species